UACGUAGGGGGCGAGCGUUGUCCGAAGUUACUGGGCGUAAAGCGCGCGUAGGCGGGCCAGCAAGUGAGAAGUGAAAGGCUGGGGCUCAACCCCAGCAGUGCUUCUCAUACUGUUGGUCUUGAGGUCGGCAGGGAGAAGUGGAAUGGCUGGUGUAGCGGUGAAAUGCGUAGAUAUCAGUCGGAACACCGGUGGCGAAGGCGGCUUCUUGGGCCGCACCUGACGCUGAGGCGCGAAAGCCAGGGGAG
rnacentral:rRNA from 1 species